rnacentral:rRNA from 1 species
UAGGGAAUCUUCGGCAAUGGGGGGAACCCUGACCGAGCAACGCCGCGUGAGUGAAGAAGGUUUUCGGAUCGUAAAGCUCUGUUGUUAAGGAAGAACGAGUGUGAGAAUGGAAAGUUCAUACUGUGACGGUACUUAACCAGAAAGGGACGGCUAACUACGUGCCAGCAGCCGCGGUAAUACGUAGGUCCCGAGCGUUGUCCGGAUUUAUUGGGCGUAAAGCGAGCGCAGGCGGUUAGAUAAGUCUGAAGUUAAAGGCAGUGGCUCAACCAUUGUAGGCUUUGGAAACUGUUUAACUUGAGUGCAGAAGGGGAGAGUGGAAUUCCAUGUGUAGCGGUGAAAUGCGUAGAUAUAUGGAGGAACACCGGUGGCGAAAGCGGCUCUCUGGUCUGUAACUGACGCUGUGGCUCGAAAGCGUGGGGAGCGAACAGG